GCAAAAAUUGUAAAAUACUAAGUAAACUUCAAUACAUAAUUAUUGGCAAUUCAUCACCAACAGUUUUAUUUUAUCUGUAACUUUAGAAGUUAGUGGGCAAUUACAAUGAAAAACUAAAAUAAAAAGCUCUACUAGUUUUGAGAUACACUUAUUGCAGUGCCUAACCGUAUGAGACUAUGAACUACUUAUUUUGUGUAGGAUUUGAUUUGCUUGGGGUUAUUGCUCGGAAACAUGACUCCACCUGCUUUGAAGGAUCUUUUCUAUGACCCCUCAAAUCUUUCAGAGCUUGAUGAGAAGAUGAUUUCACUCUGAAUAUCAAAGAGUAAUUAACCUCAGUUGAUGACACCACUAACAGUGUGAAAGCAAGAGCUGCCAGUACCAAGGACCAGGCCUUCAUUGUUGUGGUGGAGGAUUCUGUGUAGUGCCCGUGGCAUUACUUAAGAGCC
rnacentral:lncRNA from 1 species